rnacentral:rRNA from 1 species
GGCUCAGGAUGAACGCUAGCUACAGGCUUAACACAUGCAAGUCGAGGGGAAACGAUAGAGAAAGCUUGCUUUUUCUAGGCGUCGACCGGCGCACGGGUGAGUAACGCGUAUCCAACCUGCCCAUCACUUGGGGAUAACCUUGCGAAAGUUAAGACUAAUACCCAAUGACGUCUCUAGAAGACAUCUGAAAGAGAUUUAAAGAUUUAUCGGUGAUGGAUGGGGAUGCGUCUGAUUAGCUUGUUGCGGGGUAACGGCCCACCAAGGCGACGAUCAGUAGGGGUUCUGAGAGGAAGGCCCCCCACAUUGGAACUGAGACACGGUCCAAACUCCUACGGGAGGCAGCAGUGAGGAAUAUUGGUCAAUGGACGAGAGUCUGAACCAGCCAAGUAGCGUGCAGGAUGACGGCCCUAUGGGUUGUAAACUGCUUUUAUAAGGGAAUAAAGUGAGUCUCGUGAGACUUUUUGCAUGUACCUUAUGAAUAAGGACCGGCUAAUUCCGUG